GCACUAUGAGUGGAACGUUUCUCUGGAGUACGUACACACUGCAUUUUGACCUCUACUAUGGCACCAAGCGUCCAUCCACCUCCUCACAGGAUGUGGAAGGACGGGGUGAGGAGGGAGAGCAGGGUGAGGAUUCGGUAGACGGUGACGACGACCAGUGACGCAUCAACAAAGUGAUAGCGAGUGAGCUGCUGAUACAAAGGCCUGGCUGGGGAGAAAUCCCCAGCCACCUGUGACAUCAAGAUCAAGAUUGAGGAGGGACAGUGGCCGACGCAAUUGACAAACAAAUUUAAAUAAAUUGAGAACGUGUG